AAUGAACGUUGGCGGCGUGGAUUAGGCAUGCAAGUCGUACGCAUAGCUUCGGCUAUGAGUGGCGCAAGGGUGAGUAAUGCGAAGGUAACCAACCCUGGAGUUGGGCAUAACCGCGGGAAACUGCGGGUAAUUCCCAGCGAUGUCUCGAGAUGGCAUCAUCUUGAGACCAAAGGUGUGAUUCCGCUCUAGGACGGGCCUUCGUGGUAUUAGGUAGUUGGUGAGGUAACGGCUCACCAAGCCGACGAUGCCUACCGGGUGUGAGAGCAUGACCCGGCACACUGGAACUGAGACACUGUCCAGACACCUACGGGUGGCAG
rnacentral:rRNA from 1 species